rnacentral:sRNA from 1 species
GUACAGGCUGGAACAUCUUUUGACGGGUUUGCGGCUCCGUACGCUGACUCCUCGAAACGAGCCAUAUACGUCCUUUCUCCUUGACGACUUGCCUCUGCCAAUAGUGGUAAUGUAAUAGAAACCGGCCGGGCAGAAUCAUGGCCUCACUUAAAUGCAGCCAAGGGUCUUUGGCUCGAGGGUGGAGGCGGAGCCGUUCAACUUGUCUUGCUGAUCAAGUGGACAAAGACCAAAGGCAACAGAAUCGAAGGUGAGCUGCAAGUGCAUGGAAGGGGUCCCGCUAGCAAUAUCGUCUUGCUGCAAACAGAAUCUAUAUAUUCUCCACACCA